UCUAAUUGACAUAUGUGCAUACUGUGCGUAUUGCCUCGAUAUAACCUUAAUUCGAGACAAUACGCACAGUAUG
rnacentral:tRNA from 1 species